CUGGUGGGGAGCAGUUUUGAGUGUGUUUUUUUUUUCAGAUUGAAAAGCAAGGCAAAGGAAAAAAGAGUGUGGGGUGGUGGAAUAUGGAAAGGACUGAGGGGAGAGAAGAAAGAGAGGAGCCAAAAGGUGCUGACCGUGGCUUUAUUGCCACUACUACUUUAGUUCAGGUUUGAUGUUGGGACAAAACAAGGCCAGCGAUCUUAGGCUCUUCCUCUCCCCUUCAGAAGAACCAAGACGCAAGUCUCAAUAGGUUGGUCCACAUGGUGAAUGAUGCCAAAUUUUUGCAGCAAGUCUCCUAAUGCAAAAUGGUGAAGAUGAACUGAAACAGCAACCCCAGAGCCACAAGACAGAUGAUGAAACCUGCACAGAUUUCUUCUCCUGAUGUGAGGUACAAGCAAUGAGCAGAAGCAGCUCCAACUCCGUCAGAGCCACAGCAGGAACACAUGACACAAUCAAGAAUCCUUCAUCAUGCAUCAGAGUCGUCUAGUUACACUGGCUAAGAAGUCAGACGCCUAUUUCAUGAAGCCUAUCCCAAGUUCUAAUACCAAGGCUCUCCCUGUACCACCACUCACUCAUAUUACAUGAUCAACAUGUCAAAACCUCCCCCUCCCCAAGAGCCACAUGAAGGAAAUGAAACAAAAUCUUUUUUUUUUUUACCCAUUAGAGAUAUCAGUAGAGGGGAUUCUAUUUUCUUUAAAAGGAGCUAACUAAAGGACUUUGCCCCUCACUCACUUCUAGUGACUCAGAAUUACCACCAGGUCAGCUAAGAGUUCCCCUUUUUUUCUAAAAAGAAAUAAUUUUCAUAAGUAAGUAAGUGCAUACCUACCAUAGAUAGUGAUAAUUUUAUCUCCCACAUGCUAUUAGAAAGCAAGAAAUCUCCUAAUACUACCCCUUGGUCCCCCUAGCCUUUUCUGGAAAGGAGUUGCCCAAACCUCCCCGGGGGGAAAGGAAGCCUGGUGACUGAGGGGCAUAUGAGCUCCCUCUCCGGGGCAUAUAGAGCCCUCUGAGGGGAUAAGAACUCUGAAGCCAAGGCAACUCUGCACUGGAAAAGGAAUAAAGAAGGGCCAAAGAGGGCUAGCCAGAACUAUGUCCAAAACCAGUUCAUUCAUUCAGUUUUCCUGGAAAGUGGAUUCCAGAAACCACCAGAGCAAAGAGCCCUUCCCUUUCUUGGGUGGUGUUGAUUUGUCUAGACAUGAUCUCUGGAGACUGGAUCACUUGACCCGGGUAGUAAGAUGCAUGAUGAUGCAGCUUUUGAUUAAUACGGGGUGAACCUCUUUCCUCACAGUGUGAGAGUACUAUUUGGCCAUUUGGAGACUAGUUAAAGAUCAUUUGGAUUAGGUGGGUGCUCUGAUUGUGACAAGCAGCCCAGUUGGGAAGAAAUAGCUGCCUUGUUCUUAGGUAGGGGGAUCAUAUGGUCACAGCACAACAUGGAAUAACUAUCUCAAAAUCCAAAUUGACACUGUACUCAUUUCUCAACAUCUGCUGUUUUUAUAAAAGGUCCAACCUGA